GACGAACGCUGGCGGCGUGCUUAACACAUGCAAGUCGAACGGAAAGGCCCUGCUUUUGUGGGGUGCUCGAGUGGCGAACGGGUGAGUAACACGUGAGUAACCUGCCCUUGACUUUGGGAUAACUUCAGGAAACUGGGGCUAAUACCGGAUAGGAGCUCCUGCUGCAUGGUGGGGGUUGGAAAGUUUCGGCGGUUGGGGAUGGACUCGCGGCUUAUCAGCUUGUUGGCGGGGUAGUGGCUGACCAAGGCUUUGACGGGUAGCCGGCCGGAGAGGGUGACCGGCCACAUUGGGACUGAGAUACGGCCCAGACUCCUACGGGAGGCAGCAGUGGGGAAUAUUGCACAGUGGGCGGAAGCCUGAUGCAGCAACGCCGCGUGCGGGAUGACGGCCUUCGGGUUGUAAACCGCUUUCGCCUGUGACGAAGCGUGAGUGACGGUAAUGGGUAAAGAAGCACCGGCUAACUACGUG
rnacentral:rRNA from 1 species